rnacentral:rRNA from 1 species
GACGAACGCUGGCGGCGUGCCUAAUACAUGCAAGUCGAGCGGACCAAAGGGAGCUUGCUCCUGGAGGUUAGCGGCGAACGGGUGAGUAACACGUGGGCAACCUGCCUGUAAGACUGGGAUAACAUCGAGAAAUCGGUGCUAAAUACCGGAUAAUAAAAAGAACUGCAUGGUUCUUUUUUGAAAGAUGGUUUCGGCUAUCACUUACAGAUGGGCCGCGGCGCAUUAGCUAGUUGGUGAGGUAACGGCUCACCAAGGCAACGAUGCGUAGCGACCUGAGAGGUGAUCGGCCACACUGGGACUGAGACACGGCCCAGACUCCUACGGGAGGCAGCAGUAGGGAAUCUUCCGCAAUGGACGAAAAGUCUGACGGAGCAACGCCGCGUGAGUG